UUUAUGUUUUGGAUUCAAUACUAUAUAGUAUAUGGUCAUUUAUAUGUUUGACUCCCAAAAGAAAAUAAAUACACCAAUAUCAUCUUUUUGCGAGUGUGUGAGUACACCACCGACUUAAAUGUAUUGUGGGUUUGUGGUUGAGUGCUCCAUAUUUUCAUAAGACUCUCCAUCAAUUCAUACCCCAAAUCUUGUAGGGUCUUCAAUAUUAACAAACGUUGAUACGAAAGAAAAAAAAAAAAAAAAGAUGGUGUAAGGUCACCUACCUAACCUCAGUUCCUCCUUCGUAAAGAAAAAUCAAAAAUGGUACUAAUUAAUCUGUCAAUAACUCAAUAUGGAUUUGUAUAUGUUUAUUAGUCUCAAUGAGAGAUUUUAGCUCCGAUUCAGACCCAAUCAGAAGUUGUGGGGGAGGCGAUUGGAAUUCCAUAUAAAAAGCCCACCGUAUAUGAAUGAAAUUAUGAAAUUUAUUGAUGAGUUUUUGAAUUUAAUAUUUAUUUUGUGGGAUUGAUGUCGGGAAGAUGCAUAUCACAAUAGUUUAUGGGUUUUAGAAUAAAAUAACAAAAUGUUCAAUCCAAAUCUGAUCUGGAUCAUCAUCCAAAAGUGUACAUCAUCAGAGAGUUGUUAAGUCGCUAAACAUGUCCAUGUUACUAUCAUUUUUGGUUUUUCUUUGUCAAUAUAUAUAUAAACAUUCCUAGAAAAUGUUUGUUUUAGAUUGGAUCAAGUUGGUUGCGCCAAAUAUUGUUGGCUUGUUGCAG
rnacentral:lncRNA from 1 species